UACAGAGGCCCCGAGCGUUGUUCGGAUUCACUGGGCGUAAAGGGUGCGUAGGCGGUCGGGUAAGUCUGAUGUGAAAUCUCACAGCUUAACUGUGAAACUGCAUUGGAUACUAUUCGGCUUGAGAGUUGGAGGGGGGACUGGAAUUCUCGGUGUAGCAGUGAAAUGCGUAGAUAUCGAGAGGAACACCAGUGGCGAAGGCGAGUCCCUGGACAACCUCUGACGCUGAGGCACGAAAGCUAGGGGAGCAAACAGG
rnacentral:rRNA from 1 species